rnacentral:rRNA from 1 species
CCUACGGGUGGCAGCAGUGGGGAAUAUUGGACAAUGGGCGAAAGCCUGAUCCAGCCAUGCCGCGUGUGUGAAGAAGGCCUUCGGGUUGUAAAGCACUUUCAGUGGGGAAGAAAGCCUUGGGGCUAAUACCCUCGAGGAAGGACAUCACCCACAGAAGAAGCACCGGCUAACUCCGUGCUAGCAGCCGCGGUAAUACGGAGGGUGCGAGCGUUAAUCGGAAUUACUGGGCGUAAAGCGCGCGUAGGCGGUCUGAUAAGCCGGUUGUGAAAGCCCCGGGCUCAACCUGGGAACGGCAUCCGGAACUGUCAGGCUAGAGUGCAGGAGAGGAAGGUAGAAUUCCCGGUGUAGCGGUGAAAUGCGUAGAGAUCGGGAGGAAUACCAGUGGCGAAGGCGGCCUUCUGGACUGACACUGACGCUGAGGUGCGAAAGCGUGGGUAGCAAACAGGAUUAGAUACCCCAGUAGUC